GACGAACGCUGGCGGCGUGCUUAACACAUGCAAGUCGAACGGAAAGGCCCUGCUUUUGUGGGGUGCUCGAGUGGCGAACGGGUGAGUAACACGUGAGUAACCUGCCCUUGACUUUGGGAUAACUUCAGGAAACUGGGGCUAAUACCGGAUAGGAGCUCCUGCUGCAUGGGGGGGGUUGGAAAGUUUCGGCGGUUGGGGAUGGACUCGCGGCUUAUCUGCUUGUUGGUGGGGUAGUGGCUUACCAAGGCUUUGACGGGUAGCCGGCCUGGGAGGGUGACCGGCCACAUGGGGACGGAGAUACGCCCAGGACUACACGGGAGGCAGCAGUGGGGAAUAUUGCACAAUGGGCGGAAGCCUGAUGCAGCAACGCCGCGUGCGGGAUGACGGCCUUCGGGUUGUAAACCGCUUUCGCCUGUGACGAAGCGUGAGUGACGGUAAUGGGUAAAGAAGCACCGGCUAACUACGUG
rnacentral:rRNA from 1 species